rnacentral:lncRNA from 1 species
GCUCCAGCUCUGCCCGACUGAGGCGGCCGUGCCUCCCUGGGACCAGGCGUGAGGCUCGUGCACAAAUCCCGCCCCCCCCAUCCCGGCCGGGGACGCGGAGCGUACAUGCGAGUCAGCGUGGCUUGUCGUGUAACUUCCAGGCAUUUCGGACUCAUGCAGCGUUAUGACAUGACCAUUUCUAGUUGGAAAUAUGAAGAAAAUAUGUGGAAAGGAACAGCGAUGCAAAAAAAAACUGCAAGCUGCUCUGCCUGGGCUGACCUCACUGACUCUCCAAGAUUCCCCAUGUUACCUGAAACUCCAGACUGGAGAAGUGUGGAACAACCAACAGAACAGUGGUCCAAACCAAGCUCUUGGAUGUUAAUCAAGCCCUUACACACAGCUGAUGGAUCAUGUUCUUCUAGAAAGGCACGAGCACACAUCUUCUUAAUGCACUAGCAGAAGAGGUCCUGAGUCCAUACUGGAACUUAGAAAACAAAUGGGAUGGUCAGAAUUUACAAGGGAAAUUUGUAGCCCUGUGUACUAUUGUCAUUUACAGUAAAAAAAUUUAAUAAAUUCAUCUCUAGAGAUUAUUUACCUCACGACCCAGUAGUGCACUUGGAAAUUACUGUGCCUUAAAACAGCUCUGAUAAGCAAAGAUGAAACUCAAAUAGCUAAAAGGGAACUAGCAGCUCUCUUGCUUAGUAUCAAAUCCUGUUUUAAAACUUUCUGCCCUUAUAGACAUCCUGUUUAUAUAUUUAAUCAAUGAACUGCAUGUGAGAGAAACAAAAAUUUCCUGCAAUCUGCUGUCAAAUACGUAUUCCUAAAGCUGGAAUAACUCAGCUUUUAAACAACUAAACAGUUUGGGAAAUUUUCCACAUUCCUAUUUUAUUUGUUUCUGCUUUUCUGUGAAGAGUUUUCUGAUUGUUCUAGAACUGCUCUAUAGAAACACUGUGGGAAAAAAAAUCCCUCUCUUUUCUGCUUCUUUUCCUACUUCAAUCAGUUCUUUUCUUUGACAAGAGAUAGUACUUCUGCCAAAAUGUAACACCUAUGUUAGCUCUCCUGAUUAAAUGAGCUGCUAGGUAAUGAGGUGAGAUACAGGAACCUCAGGGAUUGCUUGGGUUUGUUUGUUCUGUUUUUUUUUUUUUUUUUUUAAUUUAUUUAUUUACUGAAUAUUUACUUUUUAAGAACUUUUAAAAAAUCUUACUUUUUGAGAACAACUUCAGAUCUUUUCUAAAAAAAUAAGUACAUGAAACAGGAGGAAAUAUUUUAGAUCACCAGAAUACUCCAGUAGUCUCACAUCAAAUAGUCAGGUUUCAUCCUAAAACAGGUUGCAUGUGUACCUGUUUACCUGCAGCAUCG